AACGUUAUGCACUGGAUCUGCCCGGAUUUGGUCCCGUCUGUGUCUGAGCGAAGGCGUAAGUUGCCCCGCCUGGGGACUACGGCCGCAAGGCUAAAACUCAUAGGAAUUGACGGGGGCCCGCACAAGCGGUGAAGCAUGUGGCUCAAUUCGAGGCAACGCGAAGAACCUUACCUGGGUUUGACAUAUACCUGACCGCCGGUGAGAGCCGGUUUCUCUUUGAGCAGGUAUACAGGUGCUGCAUGGCUGUCGACAGCUCGUGCUGUGAAGUGUUCGGUUAAGUCCGGCAACGAGCGCAACCCACGCUGUUAGUUACCAUCAGGUAAUGCUGGGGACUCUAACAGGACUGCCCGUGCUAAGCGGGAGGAAGGCGUGGACGACGUCAAGUCCGCAUGGCCCUUACGCCCAGGGCUGCACACGUGCUACAAUGGCCGGUACAGAGGGUCGCCACUCUGCGAAGAGGAGCUAAUCCCGAAAACCGGCCCCAGUUCGGAUUGGAGUCUGCAACCCGACUCCAUGAAGUAGGAAUCGCUAGUAAAGGCGUAUCAGCCCCGGCGCCUUGAAUCUGUUCCCGGGCCUUGUACACACCGCCCGUCACAUCAUGGAAGCCGGCUGCACCCGAACUCGCUAU
rnacentral:rRNA from 1 species